AUUGAACGCUGGCGGAAUGCUUUACACAUGCAAGUCGAGCGGCAGCGCGGGGGCAACCCUGGCGGCGAGCGGCGAACGGGUGAGUAACAUAUCGGAACGUACCCUGUCGUGGGGGAUAACUAUCCGAAAGGAUAGCUAAUACUGCAUACGACCUGAGGGUGAAAGCGGGGGACCGCAAGGCCUCGCGCGAUAGGAGCGGCCGAUAUCGGAUUAGCUAGUUGGUGAGGUAAAGGCUCACCAAGGCGACGAUCCGUAGCGGGUCUGAGAGGACGACCCGCCACACUGGAACUGAGACACGGUCCAGACUCCUACGGGAGGCAGCAGGUGGGUAAUUUGGACAAUGGGGGCAACCCUGAUCCAGCCAUUCCGCGUGAGUGAAGAAGGCCUUCGGGUUGUAAAGCUCUUUCAGCAGGAACGAAACGGUGAGGGUUAAUACCCUUUACUAAUGACGGUACCUGAAGAAGAAGCACCGGCUAACUACGUG
rnacentral:rRNA from 1 species